AUUGAACGCUGGCGGCAGGCCUAACACAUGCAAGUCGAGCGGAUGAAGGGAGCUUGCUCCUGGAUUCAGCGGCGGACGGGUGAGUAAUGCCUAGGAAUCUGCCUGGUAGUGGGGGAUAACGUCCGGAAACGGGCGCUAAUACCGCAUACGUCCUGAGGGAGAAAGUGGGGGAUCUUCGGACCUCACGCUAUCAGAUGUACCUAGGUCGGAUUAGCUAGUUGGUGGGGUAAAGGCCUACCAAGGCGACGAUCCGUAACUGGUCUGAGAGGAUGAUCAGUCACACUGGAACUGAGACACGGUCCAGACUCCUACGGGAGGCAGCAGUGGGGAAUAUUGGACAAUGGGCGAAAGCCUGAUCCAGCCAUGCCGCGUGUGUGAAGAAGGUCUUCGGAUUGUAAAGCACUUUAAGUUGGGAGGAAGGGCAGUAAGUUAAUACCUUGCUGUUUUGACGUUACCAACAGAAUAAGCACCGGCUAACUUCGUG
rnacentral:rRNA from 1 species